GACGAACGCUGGCGGCGUGCUUAACACAUGCAAGUCGAACGGAAAGGCCCUGCUUUUGUGGGGUGCUCGAGUGGCGAACGGGUGAGUAACACGUGAGUAACCUGCCCUUGACUUUGGGAUAACUUCAGGAAACUGGGGCUAAUACCGGAUAGGAGCUCCUGCUGCAUGGUGGGGGUUGGAAAGUUUCGGCGGUUGGGGAUGGACUCGCGGCUUAUCAGCUUGUUGGUGGGGUAGUGGCUUACCAAGGCUUUGACGGGUAGCCGGCCUGAGAGGGUGACCGGCCACAUUGGGACUGAGGGACGGCCCAGUCGCCUACGGGAGGCAGCAGUGGAGAAUAUUGCACAAUGGGCGGAAGCCUGAUGCAGCAAUGCCGCGUGCGGGAUGACGGCCUUCGGGUUGUAAACCGCUUUCGCCUGUGACGAAGCGUGAGUGACGGUAAUGGGUAAAGAAGCACCGGCUAACUACGUG
rnacentral:rRNA from 1 species